rnacentral:rRNA from 1 species
GACGAACGCUGGCGGCGUGCUUAACACAUGCAAGUCGAACGGAAAGGCCCUGCUUUUGUGGGGUGCUCGAGUGGCGAACGGGUGAGUAACACGUGAGUAACCUGCCCUUGACUUUGGGAUAACUUCAGGAAACUGGGGCUAAUACCGGAUAGGAGCCCUUCCGCAAGGUGGGGGGUGGAAAGUUUCGGCGGUUGGGGAUGGACUCGCGGCUUAUCAGCUUGUUGGUGGGGUAGUGGCUUACCAAGGCUUUGACGGGUAGCCGGCCUGAGAGGGUGACCGGCCACAUUGGGACUGAGAUACGGCCCAGACUCCUACGGGAGGCAGCAGUGGGGAAUAUUGCACAAUGGGCGGAAGCCUGAUGCAGCAACGCCGCGUGCGGGAUGACGGCCUUCGGGUUGUAAACCGCUUUCGCCUGUGACGAAGCGUGAGUGACGGUAAUGGGUAAAGAAGCACCGGCUAACUACGUG